CUUCCAUCAAGGAUAACUCUAGGAUUGCUCUCAGUCAAAACCAACCAACCAAGAAGGGGAAGUUAUGUCAUGAACAGUCCCAUAGAAAGACCCAUGCGGCAAAGAACUAAAACCUCCUGCCAAUAGCCACAUGAAUUUAACAAGAGAUCCUCCAGCCCCAGCUGAAUCUCCAGAGAUGGCAGCAUCAGCUGGGCAGCAUGACCUCAACUUUAUGAGAAACUGAGCCAGAAUCGCCCAGCAAAGCCACUCCAGGAUCCCUGACCCUCAGCAAGUGUGUGAUAUAAUCUUUGCUAUUGUAAGCUGCUGAGUUUCGAGGUACCUUUUUGCUCAAUAAUAUAUAACUGUUGCAGUUGCCAUUAUGAUGUUUUUUUUUUUUCAGAUGGAAUCUCGCUCUGUUGCCCAGGCUGGAGUGCAGUGGUGCGAUCUUGGCUCACCGCAAUCUCUGCCUCCCAAGUUCAAGUGAUUCUCCUGCAUCAGCCUCCUGAGUAACUGGGGUUACAGGCACGCACCACCACACCCAGCUAAUCUUUGUAUUUUUAGUAGAGAUGGGGUUUCACCAUGUUGGCCAGGCUGGUCUCGAACUCCUGGCCUCAAGUGAUCCACCCACCUUGGCUUCCCAAAGUGCUGGGAUUACAGGCGUGAGCCACCUUUCCUGGCCUGCCAUUAUGAUUUUAAUCUCUUUGUUAUAUUUUUUCUAUGACAGCUUUAUUGAGCUAUAAUUCAUAUAUCAUAUACAUUCACUCAUUUAAUGUGUACGAUUCAAUGGUUUUGGCAUAUCCACAGAGUUGUCCAGUCAACACCAUAAUCUAAUUUUGGAACAUUAUAAUCUCAAAAAGAAACCCUGUACCCAUUAACCACCUCUCCCAUCUCCC
rnacentral:lncRNA from 10 species